rnacentral:lncRNA from 1 species
UCCUCCUCCUCCUCCUCCGCUUCUGGCUUCUCCUCCUUCUUCUCAGGCUCAUCACAACAACUUUUACACCUCCUCCUCCUCCUUUUCUUCUUCUUCUUCUUCUUUUUUUUUUUUUAUGGCGUCUCGCCCAGCCUGGAGUGCAGAGGCAGUCUUGGCUCACUGCAACCUCCACCUCCGGGGUUCAACUGAUUUUCCCGCCUCAGCCUGCUGAGUAGCUGGGAUUACAGGCACCCUCAUCAAGUCCGGCUAAUUUUUGUAUUUUUAGUAGAGACAGGGUUUCACCAUGUUGGCUAGGCUGGUCUUGACCUCCUGACCUCGGGUGAUCCUCCUGCCUCGGCCUCCCAAAAUGCUGGGAUUACAGGCGUGAGCCACCACGCACGGCUUCUGUUGUUCGUUGAAAUCAUCAUUUUUCUAAUGUCCUCAUUCUCUGCUGGCUAGUUUAAGGGCUGAUUCAAAAAAUAAAUUUUCACACUGUGAAAUACGCAAGAUGAAGAGAACAUUUAUAAAAUAUCCAUACUGUGCAUCUCUGAAUAAUCUUUUCUUCACAUCAGCGGCAGUACAAAUUAGGUGGAGUUUUAAAAGAUACUUCAGCAACUUACAGAUUACAGCAUGUUAUGUAUCUUCAAGUGGUUUUAUCUCUUUUGAUUGAAGAAUUUAAUCAAUUUCUAUUCAAGAUAACUAUUCAUAGAUAUUUUGCUUCAUUGGUGUGCUUGAACAUUUCUGGAUUCCUAGACUCCCAGAAAGCAGUGAGAGGAUAUUACGUUGCAGAAUUUGGUCAGAAUAUGAAGUUUGGAAGACCCUAUAUUCCUGCAGAUCCUUGGAUUGAGGUUAAUUCGAGAGCAAGCCGUGAGUGAGAAAUCUGCCAUCAAAACCAAGUCACUGGCCCUACCACAUUUGCUACAACUCUGAUAUUCCACAUUUUACAAAGUUCAUGUCUAGCUGCUUCAUGUCAGAACGCUAGAACUCUGUACGAUGCCUUGCAGAAAUCUCACUUGUGGGAGCAGACAGAAUGGACAGGCUGUAUGAAUUCCUCAUAAGUAGCGUGGAGACCUUGGGCCUCCCCAGCCUUGCUUAAUAAUUUCAUGGAGUAGAGAUGACGGAUGCCAGCUCACAGAUUUGUUUUGAGUGCUAAAUGCAGAGCAACCAGCCUUGGAGAGCUUCUUGGGAAUCUUUGGUUCCUCUUGCCCUUUCAGGAAAGGAUGAAUGUGUGUAAACAAAGAAACAAAAUUUGAGCAGGUUUGAGGCUGCAGGGUGAAGGCAUUUCUUUCAGUUGGCUCUGGGAGCACCUGCAGACCUCGAAUCCUUCACUCUUCCUCCUUUCUUCCAAGAACUCACUACGCUUUCCAUCCUCCUUUCCUCCAUGAGACAAAGCACCCUCCAGAAUGAUGCUAAGUGCAGUACCUCCAUGCUCAAAAGCUGCUGAUAUCAACAUUGGCCUGUUAAUAAAAUAUGGAACCUUCAGACUGACUCUCCAGGUUCUAUGUGCACGCCAGCUUGGGCACAGUCCUCACCGCUGCCCGGCGGGUCCUCCCUGUCCUUACCAAACUGUGCUGCUUGCCAUCCUCUGAAUAUGGCCCCACAUGUGCUUCUGCUCUGCCCAGCCAUCCACUGGAGGGGUAUCUCAUCGUCCCACCUCCGCCCAAGGAAAACCUGCCUGCUCUCAGAACCUGCCUCAGUCCGUCAGGUUGAUGAAGUCUAAUUUGGUUCAGCUUUCAGAGAUUCCUGGUAGUUUUAAACUGAAAAGUUCAUAAGUGUUGUGGGGGCCAUUGCCAUUUCACCUCGGAGAUGAGAUAACUGAUGUUCAGAUCUAAAAGAUUCUAAGAGAGUCGCACUCUGCUAAGUCCCAUAGCAUUUUAGGGAAAACUACUAAAUAUAUUGAAGAUACUUGUGUACAUUUAUUAGUUCCUGUUAUGGGCCGAAUUUUGUCUCUCUUCUCCGGGUAAAUUCAUGUUUGAAGCCCUAAUUUCAAUGUGACUGUAUUUGGAUAUACAGCCUUUAAAGGGUGUAAUUAAGGCUAAAUAGGUUCAUAAGGGUGGGGCCUAAUCCAAUAGGACUGAUAUCCUCAUAAGAAGAGGAAGAGACCUCAGGGACGCUUGAGCACAGAGGAAAGGCCACGUGAGGGCAGACAAGGCAGCAUCUGCCAGGCAAUGAGAGAGGCCUCAGGAGAAACUGCAGGCACCUUGAUCCUGGACUUCCAGACUCCAGAACUGUGAGAGAAUAAAUGUCUGUUGUUUAAGGACCCCAGUCUGUGAUACUCAUUAUGGCAGACCUAGUUGACAAAUACGGCUCACCUAUGAAAUGUAAAGCUCCAUCAUGCAGUCUUUGAAUCUCCCAGGGUUCUGAGAUAUGAUUUAAUAAAUAUUUGUAGAAUGACAAAAUUUUAUCUGUGAUGACUAUGUCACACACACACACACACACACACACACACACACACACACACCCCUUUAGGCCACCCACUGUGUCACAUUCCUCUCCCUUCUUUCCUUGAAAGCACUGCUUCCAAGGAAAGAAUAAUCACUUUACUUGGAAAUAAAUUAUCCUCUAAAUUAGAAAUAUGUGCCUUUCAAAAUUUGAAUAUCAAUCUCUGUAGGUGAAUUUUAUCUCCCUUUAUGCUUUACAAGUAGGUUUACUUGCCCCACGGAGUGCCACAUUGGUCCAGAUAAUAAAUUAAUACCAUUUGAUUGUAAAUACAAUAUAAACCUUUUUGAAACAGGUCUCAUUCUCAAGUUAUUUGUUGUUUAGAAAAGUCUUAUUUCAAUGACCAGAAACGUAAAACUGGUACUGUUUCAAACAGGCCUGCAACACACAAUUUAUCAUUGAAUAAAAUGUAUUUAUAUUAUGGCCAAAUGGAUUAUCAUUGAAGCAGAAGUGAUUGAGUGAAGUAGUUUAGAAAAAUGUCUGGCUAUUUAAAAUAAAUUUGAGAACUUUAUGACAUUGUUUUAUUCAUCAGAAAGAAUUACAUGUAGAUUUAAACAAAAAAAUCAAGAUUUUCAAAAGGAAAUAAAUGCCUUCUGCCAGAUCUACCACACUUUAAGCCCUCUAAAACCAGCAUAUUCCUUAUUAGCUUCAUUGCUCAGACCAUGUUUAUUUUCUAAGUGAAUGGUAUUACAGGGCUUGUGAUCACAGUAUUAAGACCUGAAGUAUUAUGACCAUUACUAUGUGGAACAUAUUUCUUUGGAGUCCAAAGAUUUUCCACAUGCAUUAAUUUCCCCCCUUUCUCAAAUGUGUGCUCUGUGGCUAUACCUCAGCUUCUUCAUUGAUGUGAAGUAUUUUGUUGUGUGUUUGUUGUGGGGGGGGGGGGUGGUGAGGGGAAGGGACAUGUUUUAUUUAGUAAAUGUCACAAGGCCUAACAGCUCUCAGAGGUAAUCAGAUUUGGUAAUGACUAAGCUGGAUCAGUUUUUAAAUGGUUAAAACAAACAAACAAACAAACAAAAAAGCAAAUAAAAGCUCUCAUGUUUUCUCAUUACUUUAAGAAUGCCAGCCAACCCCUGACAAAAGAAUUUAAGGUAAUAUUUUUAAAAUAGUAGUAUCUUUUUUAUAUGUGCUCUGCCCUUUUUCAAUGUUAUAAAAUAUCCCUGUGUUGACUUACUGUACAUUGAUUUUAAUAGGCGUUCUCUACAGAGCAAUAUGAAUAUCAUUGGAAACUGUAUAAUACAAUUUUCUACCCCUGAAAUGCUAUAGAAAACUGCACAUUUUAUACUGACAUGUGCCCCAUCAAUAAUAGAGUUUUUAUAUCUUAUUUGUAGCUAUUGAUCUCAACAGCAUAAUGAAAAAUUGAUUGUAGUGAAGUGCACCAUUUCUUAAGUAUAAAUUUCAAUGUCAAAUUAUUUUUAUCUAUGCUUCCCAAUUAUACAUGGAACUUAUACAUUUAUAUAUGUUUGCUUCCACAAAACUCUACUGCAAUAAAUUAGAUAUGACAAGAAUCUACUGAGUCAAUAGAAACCAUGUUUCUUUCACUAAAAUAUGAUUCCAAAAUUAAAUAUGCUAGUUUGAUACUAGUUUCAUUUCAUCAUUAUGAAGAGAAUUAAUGCCUCAAUAUAUAGGUAUCACCUUCCCAUGCAAUUUAAAAAUUUUAAAUGAGGUCUUAAAUCUUCUGGGGAUAUAAAUACACACACAUGCACACACACGUACAGAAAAAACUAUGUACCCAGAAAUCCAUGCAUUCAUUUGGUAGUCCACAUGAUACUUUAAACAAGGUGCCUGUUUUUUCUUAUCUCUUGAUACCUUAUUAUUUUAGAGGGAACAUUCUGCUAGGAAAAUCUACAGGUAUAGGUCUGAUAAAAAGUAAGAGGUGAAUCAUUUCUGCUCUUCAACAGUGAUCCACAAGUCCAAUAUUACAGACAGAGAUGAGUGAGGGUAGAAAUCCACUAAUCUAAACAUAAUCUACAAACAGGAAGCAAAAGAUCCAGAGAUGAGAAAAAAAUAUUUCUUAAGUUAACUUGUCCUUUCAUGUUAUUUUGAAUUGAAACCAUUAGUAAAAAGUUUUUACAGUUUUUCUCUGAGCUAUGUAAGUGUAAACAUAACUAUAUUAUUCAAUAAAAUAUAUUAAUCUCACAAAAGAAAGUCUGAAACAUAUGUGUAUUCCUCUGGAUAAAACACUUUUUUCAGCAUUUAUGCUGAGAUAGUAAUAUUCAUAGUAUGGUAAUAAUAGUAAUAAUAUUAUGAUCAUGUGCCCUGCAGAAAUGAUAAUCAGCCUCACUCACACUCAUUAAUAAUAAAAUAUGGAAAAUUAUUUUGCCCUUUCAAUCUCUGCAUGGGUUUAUAACAUCCUUGAAUUAACAGCAGCUAUUUGGCAGUAGGGUUUUGGAGGGGUAGAGUAUUAUUCAUUUUUAAAAACAGAUUUAUUGAAAUUUAAUUCAUAUACUAUAAAAUAGAUCUCUUUGUAUUUUACAAUUAAGUGGUUUCGACAAAUCCACAGAAUUUUGAAACCAUCACACAAUCGAAUUUUAGAACAUUUUCAUUAUCCCUAAAGGAUAUCCUAGAUCUAUACCCAGCCACUCCCUUAACCCUCCGCCUCUGCCAGUCAAUAAACUAUGUGCUUUUUCUCUCUAUGGGCUUGCCAACUUUGGACAUUUCAUAUAAAUGGAAUUAUACAAUAUGUGACCUUUUGUGUCUGGCUUCUUUCACUUAUCACAAUGCUUUCAAGAUUCAUCCAUG